rnacentral:rRNA from 1 species
AUGCCGCCGAUCUGCGAUGCAGCCACCAUGUUGCCGAAGCGCUUCAUGGGAGUGCGGCCGCGGGUGUUCGGCCGGUUUGACGUCGACUUCCAGCAUGCCGGACGGCGGUACUGGCUUGAAACCUACGAGUCAGCUAACGAAGCGGCAUGCGCCUAUGACAUCGCAUCGUGGAGGCUCUCCAAGCUCAACUUCCCGGAGGUGCAGUCCCGGAUCAAACCGGAGUUCGUCAGGCCAAAGAUGACCAUUGUGUCCCAACCGGCGAAGCCACGGACCGUUUUCGACGAGCGAGUCAACAUUCGGGAGACUGAUAAGCCCCCCGUGGUCAUCCGUGCCAGCGCCCGCUACGCCCCCUGGGUUCUCCUCGACAAGAAGGCCUACUUUGCCGUCCGCGAGAACGCCACCACCGCCGAAGCCGUCACCAGCACAGGCAACGCAUUCAAAGUUACCUUCUGCCUCGCCGACCCGCCGGCCAUCUCCCACUUCUGUGUCCAUGGCCCCGAGUUCCAGCGCGACGACCUAACGACCGAGCCCCGGGUCGUCUUCUCGGCCAAGGACCUCGUGCUCCUCUGCUUCAGUCCCGGGAGAAACCGUCGGGGAUCUUUCCUCGACGAGUACUUCGUCUACAAGGCCGACUACGGCAAGCCGUCGCUCACACCGAUCCCGCCGGGCACCAGAAACAGAAACUCGUUCCACGUGUGCAUCUUGCCCCUGGACGACGAUGACGGGGGAUUUGUCCUCGCAGAUCUCUGCAUGACGAACCUCCCACCAGACUACGAUCUUCAUGUCUUCUCCUCCAAGACAGGCAAGUGGGCAAUUACACCGUUACGGUUGCAACCAUAUCCUGGGGUGAGGAAAGAGAACCUGCCGGGCCCUUUUCUCAACAAGGUGGUCGCGCUUGGAGGAGGUGCUGUCGGCUGGAUCGACCUCUGGAGUGGCAUUCUCACCUGCAAUGUGUUUGACAAGAACCCUGUUCUAAGUUUCAUCCCGAUACCCAUGCUUGCAUAUUGUAAUGAGCAACGGGCUACUAGCCCACAGCUUGUCCGGGAUGUCACCUGCUCCAAUGGUUUCAUCAAGUUUGUCGAGCUGGAAGCUAUUACUAAAAAGAGCAGCCACACAACAGAGGAUAAUCUUGACAGCAUCAACGAUAUCAUCCAUGAUUCUGAUCUGCUCUUCCACAAUGAGAAUGCAUGUGCCAGUCCCGUGAGACUAUUUGCUGCCCGUGUUCGUUGGAAGCUCCGAACAUGUACUAGGCAUACCACCUGGAACUAUUGGCGCAAGGGGCACCCUGUUGAUAUCCAUGGCAUCUCGGCUUAUAUGUUGCUCCCACAGCCCUGGGACGCCGCGGCUGGAAGAUUGUCACCAAGGAACCUGUGUUUAUCUUACCCCAUCCUAGGCAUGGACAGCGAGGAUGUUGUUUACAUGAUGUCUAAACUGACACGUGAUGAUAAGAACGCAUGGAUGGUUGGUGUUAACCUUGGAAAGAAAAUGACGGGCGUGUGUGUACCAGUUUCUAGUGUGAGAGUCUGCUAUUUCGAUCUGGACCUCCUCAUCUGUCAAGUACCGGUGAAGUCAAAUGUGUGCCAGAUGCGGAACAUAAUUGUCAUCUUUGAUCAGAUGCACCUCGCCGCCGUCACGUUGUGCUGCAGUGAAGCGUCGCCGGCUCCCAUCGGGUGCGGCGGGGCUGCAAUGAAGCGCCAGCGGAGCUUCAGUGAAGUGCCGCGCCUGUCGUCGGAGCUCCGACGAGGUUUCAAUGAAGCGUCGUGGAAGCUGUAG